UUUAUUGGAGAGUUUGAUCCUGGCUCAGGAUGAACGCUGGCGGCGUGCCUAAUACAUGCAAGUCGAGCGAAUGGAUUAAGAGCUUGCUCUUAUGAAGUUAGCGGCGGACGGGUGAGUAACACGUGGGUAACCUGCCCAUAAGACUGGGAUAACUCCGGGAAACCGGGGCUAAUACCGGAUAACAUUUUGAACCGCAUGGUUCGAAAUUGAAAGGCGGCUUCGGCUGUC
rnacentral:rRNA from 2 species